rnacentral:rRNA from 1 species
UGGGGAAUUUUGGACAAUGGGCGAAAGCCUGAUCCAGCAAUGCCGCGUGUGUGAAGAAGGCCUUCGGGUUGUAAAGCACUUUUGUCCGGAAAGAAAUCCUUGGCUCUAAUACAGUCGGGGGAUGACGGUACCGGAAGAAUAAGCACCGGCUAACUACGUGCCAGCAGCCGCGGUAAUACGUAGGGUGCAAGCGUUAAUCGGAAUUACUGGGCGUAAAGCGUGCGCAGGCGGUUUGCUAAGACCGAUGUGAAAUCCCCGGGCUCAACCUGGGAACUGCAUUGGUGACUGGCAGGCUAGAGUAUGGCAGAGGGGGGUAGAAUUCCACGUGUAGCAGUGAAAUGCGUAGAGAUGUGGAGGAAUACCGAUGGCGAAGGCAGCCCCCUGGGCCAAUACUGACGCUCAUGCACGAAAGCGUGGGGAGCAAACAGGAUUAGAUACCCUGGUAGUCCACGCCCUAAACGAUGUCAACUAGUUGUUGGGGAUUCAUUUCCUUAGUAACGUACUAACGCGUGAAGUUGACCGCCUGGGGAGUACGGUCGCAAGAUUAAAACUCAAAGGAAUUGACGGGG